UUGGGGAUUUAGCUCAGUGGUAGAGCGCUUGCCUAGCAACCGCAAGGCCCUGGGUUCGGUCCCCCGCUCCAAA
rnacentral:tRNA from 1 species